AACGUAGGACGCGAGCGUUAUCCGGAGUUACUGGGCGUAAAGCGCGGGCAGGCGGCUUGACAAGUGGGACGUGAAAGCGCCCGGCUAAACCGGGCGAGGCCGUUCCAAACUGUUGAGCUGGAGGGCAGUAGAGGUGGGUGGAAUUCCGGGUGGAGUGGUGAAAUGCGUAGAGAUCCGGAGGAACACCAGAGGCGAAGGCGGCCCACUGGGCUGCACCUGACGCUGAGCCGCGAAAGCCAGGGGAGCGAACGGG
rnacentral:rRNA from 1 species